rnacentral:tRNA from 1 species
AGUCCCGUAGUGUAGUGGACUAUCAUCGUGCACUUUGGAUGCAUGGACCCCAGUUCGAAUCUGGGCGGGACUA